ACGUAGGAUGCGAGCGUUGUCCGGAUUUAUUGGGCGUAAAGAGUUCGUAGGCGGUUUGUUAAGUCUGAUGUUAAAGACUGGGGCUCAACCUCGGGACUGCAUUGGAUACUGGCAGACUGGAGUAUGGUAGAGGCAAGUGGAAUUCCCAGUGUAGCGGUGAAAUGCGUAGAUAUUGGGAAGAACACCGGUGGCGCAAGCGACUUGCUGGGCCAUUACUGACGCUGAGGAACGAAAGCUAGGGGAGCGAAUGGGAUUAGAUACCCCAGUAGUCCUAGCCGUAAACGAUGGAUACUAGGCGUAUCGGGUAUCGACCCCUGAUGUGCCGCAGCUAACGCGAUAAGUAUCCCGCCUGAGUAGUACGGCCGCAAGGUUG
rnacentral:rRNA from 1 species